UACGUAGGGUGCGAGCGUUAAUCGGAAUUACUGGGCGUAAAGCGUGCGCAGGCGGUUUGCUAAGACCGAUGUGAAAUCCCCGGGCUCAACCUGGGAACUGCAUUUGUGACUGUAGAGCUGGAGUGCGGCAGAGGGGGAUGGAAUUCCGCGUGUAGCAGUGAAGUGCGUAGAUAUGCGGAGGAACACCGAUGGCGAAGGCAAUCCCCUGGGCCUGCACUGACGCUCAUGCACGAAAGCGUGGGGAGCAAACAGG
rnacentral:rRNA from 1 species